CACGUAGGGGGCAAGCGUUGUCCGGAUUUAUUGGGCGUAAAGAGCUCGUAGGCGGUUCGGUAAGUCGGGUGUGAAACCUCCAGGCUCAACCUGGAGACGCCACCCGAUACUGCUGUGACUAGAGUCCGGUAGGGGAGCGUGGAAUUCCUGGUGUAGCGGUGAAAUGCGCAGAUAUCAGGAGGAACACCAGCGGCGAAGGCGGUGCUCUGGGCCGGAACUGACGCUGAGGAGCGAAAGCGUGGGGAGCAAACAGG
rnacentral:rRNA from 1 species